UACGGGGGGAGCAAGCGUUGUUCGGAUUUACUGGGCGUAAAGAGCUCGUAGGCGGUCUGUCGCGUCGGUCGUGAAAACUUGGGGCUUAACCCUGAGCUUGCGGUCGAUACGGGCAUGACUGGAGUUCGGCAGGGGAGACUGGAAUUCCUGGUGUAGCGGUGAAAUGCGCAGAUAUCAGGAGGAACACCGGUGGCGAAGGCGGUUCUCUGGGCCUUACCUGACGCUGAGGAGCGAAAGCGUGGGGAGCAAACAGG
rnacentral:rRNA from 1 species